UACGUAGGGUGCGAGCGUUAAUCGGAAUUACUGGGCGUAAAGUGUGCGCAGGCGGCCGCGCAAGUCGAGUGUGAAAGCCCCGGGCUUAACUUGGGAAUUGCGCUCGAAACUACGUGGCUGGAGUGUGGCAGAGGAAGGUGGAAUUCCACGUGUAGCGGUGAAAUGCGUAGAGAUGUGGAGGAACACCAAUGGCGAAGGCAGCCAUUCUGGGCCGAAACACUGACGCUCAUGCACGAAAGCGUGGGGAGCAAACAGG
rnacentral:rRNA from 1 species